GCAUAUCAAUAAGCGGAGGAAAAGAAACCAACAGGGAUUGCCCCAGUAACGGCGAGUGAAGCGGCAACAGCUCAAAUUUGAAAUCUGGCCCCCCGGCCCGAGUUGUAAUUUGGAGAGGAUGCUUCUGGCGCGGCGCCGUCCGAGUUCCUUGGAACAGGACGCCACAGAGGGUGAGAGCCCCGUACGGACGGACGCCUAGCCUCUACGAAGCUCCUUCGACGAGUCGAGUAGUUUGGGAAUGCUGCUCAAAAUGGGAGGUAAAUUUCUUCUAAAGCUAAAUACCGGCCAGAGACCGAUAGCGCACAAGUAGAGUGAUCGAAAGAUGAAAAGCACUUUGAAAAGAGGGUUAAAAAGUACGUGAAAUUGUUGAAAGGGAAGCGCCUGUGACCAGACUUGCGCCUCGCGGACCACCCGGCGUUCUCGCCGGUGCACUCUGCGUGGCGCAGGCCAGCAUCGGUUCUCCCAGGGGGACAAAGGCCGCGGGAACGUAGCUCCUUUGGGAGUGUUAUAGCCCGCGGCGGCAUGCCCCUGGGGGGACCGAGGACCGCGCUUCGGCAAGGAUGCUGGCGUAAUGGUCACCAGCGACCCGUCUUGAAACACGGACCAAGGAGUCAAGCAUUGGGGCGAGUGUAUGGGUGCCAAACCCGCACGCGAAAUGAAAGUAAACGCAGGUGAGAGCUUCGGCGCAUCAUCGACCGAUCCUGAUGUCUUCGGAUGGAUUUGAGUAAGAGCCUUACCGCUUGGACCCGAAAGAUGGUGAACUAUGCCUGAAUAGGGUGAAGCCAGAGGAAACUCUGGUGGAGGCUCGCAGCGGUUCUGACGUGCAAAUCGAUCGUCAAAUUUGGGCAUGGGGGCGAAAGACUAAUCGAACCAUCUAGUAGCUGGUUACCGCCGAG
rnacentral:rRNA from 1 species